UCGCCUCAAGCCGCCGAUAGCGGGUCCCGCGCCCUGCUCAUCCCCUCCACCGAGCUGGACACCGCGCGUCGCACGCGCGCACGCACGCCGAGGCCGACCCGGAUCGAUCCGGCGCCUGGUCGAUCCCGUGCGAGCCAGGGACAUCAUGCGCGAGCCCAGGACCCCGAAGAACCCUACCGCAGCCCCUUCUCCGUCCUUUCCUCGUCCGCAGCAGCUAGGGCGAAACGGAUCUCGCCGGAGGAGCUCCAAGUCCGCCGGACGCUGCCGUCGCCCAUCGCAGGAGGGACAAGCUCGUCCGCCGCCGCCGGAGCACAGCCGCUGUUCACGUCGUCAUCACCGCCCGCAGAGGACGCCCCGCCGCCGUUGAGCACCACCACCACCUCCGCCACUCCACGCCGCCUCCGCCCGUCACCUCGCCUUCGCCGGAGACCCACCGGAGGAGCGCCGCCGCCAACGCCCGAGACCACCGUCGUUUUCCUCUGUUUUGGAUUGUCCGGAGUGCGACACGAGCUAUUGUCAGGAGUGUGACUUUCUGAACCAGAACCAAGGCAAGUUACAUGUUGAUCAUCCUUUACCUAUUGUUUUCUAUGCAUGUAGUUAUAUCACACUAUGAAUAUAUGCAUGUAUAGGAGUAUUAUAUAUGUUGGCCAUGCUGUUGAGCUAUCUUCCUGUCUUUUGCAAAUCGUGGUAGUUAUAGUUUGCUAUGCUUUGUAGAUGAGGGGUGGUUCAUGUUUUCAUUGAGUUUAUG